AAAUGUGAUCAAUAAAUUUAUUGUUAGGUCAUAAAUAUUUAUAUUCCAAUCAGUUUAUAACAAUAAUCAUUUUAAAUGUACUGUACAUGUUUGGCUUCGGAAACAAAAACUCAAAAACAAGUUUUAUCAUAAGCCUGGGUUUUUGUCAAGCAAUAAAGUAUUUACAGAAAGAACCAUGCAAACCUCCUAAAUUAGUACCCUACUCAAACACAAAUGUACAAGUAUGGGAGGCAUGUAGGUCAUCCAGUCCAAAUAAGUGGAUUCACUUUUUUGUUGUCCACUUUAAAGUUAUAGAAUUGUUGAUGAAGUUACACCACUAAGCAAAUAACUAAAACAAUGAAAGACUGCAACCCAUUAGAAAGCCAUAUCAGAUAAAUUGCUCAAGUGUCUCCUUGUGCCUCAGACUAAUUGUCCUAGUCCAAAGGGGGAAAAAAAGUACUAGUCAACUUCUAGUAUUGUAAGCUAGAAAAAAAAAUUUGAUUUCAACAGAUAACUAACUUCUAUGCUAUUUAAACACAUAAAAAUUACAACAAAAUAGUUAUUAAUAAAAUGGUUCAGUUCUCACAAAACUAGACAGCAGAGAUCAUCAGAUAUAUCUGCCUAAUGAAUCUUUGCUGUGUCAAAAAUAUGCUUUCAAAAUCAUGACAAUCUUUCAUACAUUUGGAUUCAUAAACAAUUGGGGGGGGGGGGGGGGGGC